CUCCUGGACUCUUUCUUAAUAAAAGAAGAAAAUAAAAGUCUGCUGAUUGCAGGUGUGGUGUGUGCUACAUAUGGGAGAUAAUUGAAAGGACAUAUCAGUGUCUGGGCAAUAGGAUGGAGCUGGGUUACGGACAGUAUAAAGAAAAGUAAUGAAGUAAUCAGCAUUCCAGAAAUCUUACGGUGAACUCUGGAGGAAAGCAUGCAAGCAAAUUGGGUACCCUUAGGCUGAAUAGAGAGAGCUGUAUCUGAGCCAUGGUUCACCCGAUGUGUGCGUCAUGAAGACAGACACCAUGCGCAAAGGGUAUUCACAGGAUCGAUAACUGAGGACACACGUUGACUCUAAUGAAUAAAAAAGUUAGUUUGAGGGAGAAAAAAGAAGAAAGCAGAAGGAAAGAGAGAGAGAAGGAAAAGGGAAGACUCCUCAGUUGCCAGCCUGGAAAAGAAAUGGUAGGGUUGCCAGGGAGCAUAAGUAGCAGUUGCUGACCUUUUUUUACAUUCUUCUUCACACUCUGCAAUUAUACAUUCUUUUACUGACCCCUUGGAAAACUCAACCCUCCCUGUUUAACAGGUAUUUUGGGGGGUGCAGCAGGGAGUAGACAUGAGCAAAAGCAGUCAUGGCAACAGUAUGUCACCAGUGUAUGUUAUACAACAUUCUCAGAAUUAUCUGAACUAUGCUAUUAAGAGGAACAGCUGAGUUUCUGUCUAACCUAAUAUGGUUUCUGCUACUUAUAUGGUUUGCAUAUACUAUUAUUAUUGUUAAACCUUCUCCUGCUUAUAAGCUACAUUGAAAUACUGCUUAACAAGGAGGGGGGCAGAGCUGGAAGACCAUUAGUGUUAGGACUGACUACUUAUCUAAAGAAGCAAGCUGAAUUUCUUGUUUUAUAUCAUGUCUUUUGCUCCAUUUGGCUGUGUAUUAGGAAAUGUUCAAAUCUCUUAUAUCAUAUUCUGAUGUUACUGAGAUGAAAGCAGAAAUGAUAUGAUCAAGUCAGAUACUAGUUGUUCAGUCUAGUGGACAUACA
rnacentral:lncRNA from 1 species